GAAGAAGAAGAAGAAGAAGACUAUUUAAGACAAAUUACAUGCCAUAAAAUGAUAUAUCCAGAAGGCCAUCGUAGCCAAAUUUCUAAGAGAUGGGACAAGGUGACUCGAUUUUGAUUUCGAGCACCAACUUUUCAAAGUUCUCAAAGAAAAAGACAAUCUUAUACCUAGGGCUAUUACUAAAAGCCAUUUUUAUUAGGAUAAAGUAAGCAAAGAAUGCCUAAUUUAUUAACUAAACAAGGAUUUGAAGCAUUAGGUCAAUGUACAUUACAAAUCACUAGAGAUGUUUGAUAAAGAAUAUGAAGAAAAUAUGAUGCUCUUCUUGGCAUUGACAAUUGUACAUUUUUGUAGCACAUUUUUCUUUGCUAGAUUAAAGGAUGAAGUUGACUUUUGGAACUUGGACAAUUUAAAAAGCAAUAAAGUGCAGAAUUUAGUCGAGGAAAUUAAUUCCUUGGCUCGGGCAACUUCCAUACACUGAUACACAUACUUGUUAUGCAAGAUUUUUGAAGUGCAACAAAUAAUUAUUUCAUUACAUAGCAUACAAGAUUGAAUUGAAUUUUAAAGGCGAGUAGAUUUUCCAAUCAAUCCAUUCAUGACCUUUAAUUUGUUUCAAAAAAUAUAAUUUCAAACUUCAUAAACUUUGCAAAGUAUACCUUUAAUUUGUUUACUUUUUUUUGGCACAUAAAAGACAUUAUACUUGUUAACUUUGCAACUUACUAAUUUUAAAAUUGAAUGAGCUGAAUGAAGAUCUUUUAAAUCCUCUCAUUUGAAUUAUGAUUAGACAAAUAGGGUUAUAAGAGUGAAAAUAAAGAAGCAACCCUUGUAAGGUAUACAAAGCAAAAGAAAAUUAUAACUAGGGAAAUAAUUCAAGGAAACAUUAAAAAAAGUGUUGGAUCCUUGGUGAUAGUUUAAACUGUUUGAAGGAUAUGACUUCCAAAAACACAAAAAAAAUGAUUACCAAGGAAUCAAUGAAUAAGGAGAAGUUGUAACUUGCAUUAAAAAAGCAUUUAAGGGAAUGAAGUACAUAACCACCCUGAUGGCAAGGCCAAUGCUUCCCAAGAGGCCAAGACUAUAGCUUCACAUCAAUCAAUGGUCUCAAAACUAAAGGAUAUGGAGCUCUCUCUUACAAGUUGUAUGAUCACUCAAGAAGAUAGAAAUGAGAUACAAGAUUAAAAAUGCAAAUUUUCAAAGUGAAUGGGUAAGUCUUCUUGUAUCAUUUACCAAAUUAUAUCACAAUAUUUGUGUACCCAAUAUCAUUGUCACAUAACUUAUCUUAUGGAUUUACAAAGGAAAGAGAAGUUAAUUUUAUUUUAUUUCACUUGGAAAACUUGAAAAUUUAACAGGUUAAGAACAAAGAAUUAGAGUUUUCAAAGAUUUAAUCUACUAAAGGGUGACCGACCAUCACAUUCAUGUGCAAUUGUACACAAAGAUGUACGUGCGCACAUUAAGUCUAUUUCCAAACGGUCUAAUAUAUAGACUUGCCCCAAAACUAAAAUGGAAAAGUCUAUUACACCUUUGACAUGUUAUUUUGACCUAUUACAUCCUUGACUUUUUAUUUUUAACCUAUUGUACAUAUACAUUUUUAUUUUCAUAAUUAAUAAGCAAAAUUCGCUCAAAUCAUUAAUAAUUA
rnacentral:misc_RNA from 1 species